rnacentral:rRNA from 1 species
UACGUAGGGUGCAAGCGUUGUUCGGAAUUACUGGGCGUAAAGGGCUCGUAGGUGGCCAACUAAGUCAGACGUGAAAUCCCUCGGCUUAACCGGGGAACUGCGUCUGAUACUGGAUGGCUUGAGGUUGGGAGAGGGAUGCGGAAUUCCAGGUGUAGCGGUGAAAUGCGUAGAUAUCUGGAGGAACACCGGUGGCGAAGGCGGCAUCCUGGACCAAUUCUGACGCUGAGGAGCGAAAGCCAGGGGAGCAAACGGG